rnacentral:rRNA from 1 species
AUUGAACGCUGGCGGAAUGCUUUACACAUGCAAGUCGAACGGCAGCACGGGGGCAGCCCUGGUGGCGAGUGGCGAACGGGUGAGUAAUACAUCGGAACGUGCCCGGUCGUGGGGGAUAACGUAGCGAAAGUUACGCUAAUACCGCAUACGAUCUGAGGAUGAAAGCGGGGGACCUUCGGGCCUCGCGCGAUCGGAGCGGCCGAUGUCAGAUUAGGUAGUUGGUGGGGUAAAGGCCUACCAAGCCGACGAUCUGUAGCUGGUCUGAGAGGACGACCCGCCACACUGGGACUGAGACACGGCCCAGACUCCUACGGGAGGCAGCAGUGGGGAAUUUUGGACAAUGGGCGCAAGCCUGAUCCAGCCAUUCCGCGUGCAGGACGAAGGCCUUCGGGUUGUAAACUGCUUUUGUACGGAACGAAAAGGCUCUGGCUAAUACCUGGGGCUCAUGACGGUACCGUAAGAAUAAGCACCGGCUAACUACGUG